GUGAAUCAUCAAAUUUUUGAACGCAAAUUGCACUCUCUGGUAUUCCGGAGAGUAUGCCUGUUUGAGGGUCAGUUUAAAUAAAAAUCGGGGGGGUGGCGGCCUUUCGUGGGGACGCACCGGAUUGGGGUCGUCUGGCCUUCGGUUAAGGGACCUAAAAUUUGGCAGGAUUUUUUUCGAACGUAUUUAAAGGAUUUUACGUACGUUUGCGAUAGAGAAUACUAGGGGGGGUCAUCCUCA
rnacentral:misc_RNA from 1 species